rnacentral:rRNA from 1 species
UACGUAGGGUGCGAGCGUUAAUCGGAAUUACUGGGCGUAAAGCGUGCGCAGGCGGUUUUGUAAGCCAGAUGUGAAAUCCCCGGGCUUGACCUGGGAAUGGCAUUUGGGACUGCAAGGCUUGAGUGCGGCAGAGGAGACUGGAAUUCCCGGUGUAGCAGUGAAAUGCGUAGAUAUCGGGAGGAAUACCGAUGGCGAAGGCAGGUCUCUGGGCUGACACUGACGCUCAUGCACGAAAGCGUGGGGAGCAAACAGG